CAAAACAUGUCCUUUAGAAUUUAAUUUAAGGUCUAACCUGCCCACUGAUUUAAAUGGCCGCAGUAUUUUAACUGUGCAAAGGUAGCAUAAUCAUUAGUCUUUUAAUUGAAGGCUUGUAUGAAUGGUUGGACGAAAUAUUAACUGUUUCAUAAAAAUUUAUUUAGAAUUUUAUUUUUUAGUUAAAAAGCUAAAAUUUUUUUAAAAGACGAGAAGACCCUAUAGAUCUUUAUAAUUUAUUUAUUAUAGUUAUAUAGAUUAUUUAAAUUAUGAUUUUAUAAGUUAUUUUGUUGGGGUGACAUUAAAAUUUAAUAAACUUUUAAUAAAUUUUUACAUUAAUUUAUGAGUAAUUGAUCCAUUAUUAGUGAUUAUAAAAUUAAGUUACCUUAGGGAUAACAGCGUAAUUUUUUUGAAGAGUUCAUAUCGAUAAAAAAGAUUGCGACCUCGAUGUUGGAUUAAGAUAUAAUUUUGGGUGCAGCAAUUCAAUAAUUAAGUCUGUUCGACUUUUAAUUUCUUACAUGA
rnacentral:rRNA from 1 species